GUCGUGAGAUGUUGGGUUAAGUCCCGCAACGAGCGCAACCCCUGUUCUUAGUUGCCAGCGCGUAAUGGCGGGGACUCUAGGAAGACUGCCGGUGCCAAACCGGAGGAAGGUGGGGACGACGUCAAGUCAUCAUGGUCCUUACGUCUAGGGCUACACACGUGCUACAAUGGGCGGGACAGCGGGGGCCGAGGCAGCAAUGCUCAGGCAAUCCCAAAACCCGUCCUCAGUUCGGAUUGUCGUCUGCAACUCGACGGCAUGAAGCUGGAAUCGCUAGUAAUCGUGGAUCAGCACCGCCACGGUGAAUACGUUCCCGGGCCUUGUACACACCGCCCGUCACGCCAUGGAAGUGGCGAGCGCCCGAAGUCCGUGUCGGAACCCGCAAGGGGCCAAGCGGCCGAAGGCGAGCGUCAUGACUGGGGCGAAGUCGUAACAAGGUAGCCGUAGGGGAACCUGCGGCUGGAUCACCUCCUUAACGGAGAGUGGCGAGUAGAAAAGGAGAAAUCCUUCUCGAAAGCUCUCAUCUAGUUAUCGCCCGCCUUUCACAUCCAGAUCUCAAUCUCGAUUUCCACAUACGCCGGCUCGAAUCCGCUUUGCCGCGAAUUCGUGCCCGGAGAAAAAAAUGAGAGCUCGCAAGAGCUCUCGAUGUGCAAGCGAGCGGGCGCUAACUCCCGCGCGAUGUUUGACAACGGAUGAUAGAAGUGAUCGUGGGAUUUGAAGGUGUCGGAAUCCUGAUAAGAAUUCCGAUGCCGCGAAUCAACACUAGUGAUUCAAUUUCGCGGCCCCGACUUGACGGUGGGGGCUGUAUCUGUCUCAGGGCGCGAGCUCUGGGGCAAAUGAUUGUAUCGCUCGUUAGAUCGCGCGUGUUUCUGUUUGAACAAGUUAUUUGAUCAAGCGAAAGAAAGUAUGUGGGGGAUGCCUAGGUACACAGAGGCGAUGAAGGCCGUGGUAAGCUGCGAUAAGCCAGGGGGAGCGGCACACACGCUAUGAGCCCUGGAUGG
rnacentral:sRNA from 1 species